AGGAGAUAGUUUAAAAAAAAAGAAUUUUGGUUUUGGGUGCCAAUGGUAAAAAUAAAAAAUUUUUUUUUCCUA
rnacentral:tRNA from 1 species